CGUGUAUAUACAUAAUUAAUACGUGAAAGAGAGAGAGUGAAAGAAAGAGAGAGAGAGAAAAAGAGCGAGACACAGCAUCAAUAUUAGUAUGUUUCA
rnacentral:ribozyme from 1 species